rnacentral:rRNA from 1 species
ACGCUUUUAGAUGGGUCCAGCCAGGCCCAGUGACAAAGUUCAACGAGCCGCGGUACCCUGACCGUGCGAAGGUAGCAUAAUCACUUGUUCUUUAAAUAAGGACUAGUAUCAAUGGCAUCACGUAAGGCUGUACUGUCUCCUCCCCCCUAUCUAUGAAACUAAUCUCCCCGUGAAGAAGCGGGGUUAAAACUAUAAGACGAGAAGACCCCAUGGAGCUUUUAAAUUCAAUGGACAAUCUUACACACAUUAGCCCUCACAGUCCUUGAACCUGUCUAUUAAUUUUAGGUUGGGGUGACCGCGGAGCAUAACUAAACCUCCACAACGAACAGGACACUAACCUUUAUCUAAGAGCAACAACUCCAAGAAUCAAAAAAUUGACGUUAAAUGACCCGAUAUUCGACUAAUGAAACAAGUUACCCUGGGGAUAACAGCGCAAUCUACUUUUAGAGCCCAUAUCAACAAGUAGGCUUACGACCUCGAUGUUGGAUCAGGAUAUCCUGGUGGUGCAGCCGCUACCAACGGUUCGUUUGUUCAACGAUUAAAAUCCUACGUGAUCUAAGUUC